CUCUCAGGGCAUGGGUCCAGCCCUCUCAGGCCCACGAGACCCUGCCAAGAGGAACAGUCCCCAGAGACCUGGGUCGGGUUCAGGGCGUAGGCUUCCCAGGGCCCACUGGCCAGAGCAGGAUGUUGACAGAGGCUCCGAGCAAACAGCACAUUCCUCAGGGUAAUGGGGUGAGGCCUCCGCCCCUGGAGGAGGUAGGGGACAGGGUAUAUGAAGCGGGCAGGGCCAAGCUCUCAGAAGCUUUGAAGGAGACCCCAGGAGCAUUCUCUGAGCCCCAAGCCACCAUGAAGCUCGCCACCACCUUCCUGGUGUGCUGUGUGAUCCUUCUCAGUGAUGCUGAUGAUGCUGUUACACCUCGAAGCUGUGGGACCUGUCCUUCAAGCUCCUGUGCUCCUCGUGAACCCAGUGGCCAAGCCUGCUGCUCCUGCUGUGGAUGCCACGGCACAAUGGAGGCCAGACUCAACUUGGCUUCUCCUUUCCACGGUGGCCCUGAUCCUGUUUGGUUGAGGCCAGGCUGGAGUGGACAUGUCUCGGGAUAAGAAGCUGCCCUCCUGCCACCCAGACUGGACAGCCAUGCCCUUCCCUCCCCUGCCCCAUCUCAAUAAACCUGGUUGAAAAGCAGCUUUGGGCUUGGUGUUUUCUACCUGCACAGCGGGCUCUGUUUCUCUCCCUGCUGUGAAGAGCAGUGCCGAAGGAAUAGGGGCUUGACCUGGGGCAGUGGAGAGACUGUGCGCCAGCCCCGAGGUUAGGGGGGCAAGUGGGUAUGUAGGUGGGACUUUUGCCAUUUAGCACAUGGCAUGGUGCCAGCCAAGAAAGUCAACAGGGAUGAGGCAAGGAUCAUAGAUUGGACCUGUGGUUGGCACUGGGGUUGGUAUAUGCUCAGGAGACUUGAAUCUCUGGACUGUCCAUGUGCCAGCUGAGCCCUGAGCCUCAGCAGAGUUGCAACACCUACUCCCCCGCUCAUUGGCCUUACCCAGGUCAGCUAACAGGGAAGUGAGGAUGGUCAGCCACCACGCCAGGGAACCAAGAGAGUUUACAGCUGUAAGCAGGAGAAUUCCAUCCAUCAGCCAUGUGGGGUCUAAGCCCCCUCUCGAUUUAGAGGUGGGCUGGAAAUCGCCACCCCAGGAUCCUCAGGAUGAAGGAAUAAAAUAUGGAUUAGAGUGGACUUAGUGGUAUUCUGCUGUGGAAUUAUUGUGACUUUAGCAAUGGAAGAAAUGAUAUCAUUGAUAUGGAGACUGUGGCCACGGGAGUUGCUGCAGGCAGGGAGAGAAAAGAAGAGGUGUGGUAUUGGGGCAUUUUCGGGACUUGGAGUUGUCCUGCAUGGUAUUGCAGGAACAGAUGCAGGACUUUGUAUAUCCUGCCAUAACCUGCUGAAUGGACUGGGAGAGAGUAUAAACUACAACAUAAGCUAUAAUCCAUGCUGUGUAGCAGUGCUCCAAAAUGUACUCAUCAAAUGCAAUGAAUGUACCACACUAAUGAAAGAAGUUGUUGAUGUGGGAGCAGUGGGGGGUGUGGGGAGUGGGUUAUAUGGGAACUUCUUAUAUUUUUUAAUGUAACAUUUUGUGUGAUCUAUGGAUCUUUAAAAAAAAGAUCAUAAAAAAUCAUUUUUAAAAAUCAGGAAAAAAACUA
rnacentral:lncRNA from 1 species